GCGCCUGUAGCUCAGCAGGAUAGAGCAACGGCCUUCUAAGCCGUGUGUCCUGGGUUCGAAUCCCCGCAGGCGCGCCA
rnacentral:tRNA from 1 species